CACCGGCCCGAGGCCUGGAGUUUGACACGUGUGCUCUAAGGUCAAGUCUGAGAAUGCUGGCAGGAAAUCAUGUUUUUAUUUGUGUUUGAUGAAAGACUAACAUCACAGUGCUGAGCAGCCUGUAGCUUCAGACCUGCAUCUACUGCUGGAAACUAACCGGAGCUCACCGGCAAGUAUGAGUGACGUCACGUAAAGUGAAUCACAGCUGUUCUGAAAUCAGGAAAAUGCGAGUAGAUACCUGGAAAUGCUGCGAGCUCUGCGCAGCUCACAGCACAAACUUCUCCGGGCUCCCUGAAGCUCUUCUUUGGAUGUUUCUGCCUUUGUGGAUGAUGGAGCAGAUGUUUCCAGAUGUUACUGUUUAUGAUAUCAAACUUUGAUGAAAAUCAACGACUGUAAAAAAGACACGUUUUCAACUUAAAAUGACUUCCGUAUCCGCGUUACAUCAAUAUCGCGAGAGUUGGAGCGAUAUUUGCUCGACACCGUCCAUGUUAGCUUCCUGGAGUGGUUCGCGGCUGUUUGAUGGAGGCGCGCGGGUCUGAGGUGUGGAGGUGGGCUAGAGUCAUCACCUGUGAGCUCGGAGAGGCCCGCCGGUAAAUACCGGCUCUGCUCACCGGUCAGCCCGGUAGCUAACGUGAGCUAGCAGAGGAGGCUAAAAACAUUAGCCCCCGGUGCUCGAGGGAAGUUUGGUACCUGAGCGCGAGC